rnacentral:lncRNA from 1 species
AUUAAUUAAAUAUCACAGGCUCCAGGGAAGAAGCCAGGCAGGGAGGCUUGGCAGCUGGCCUCUCUGGAGUAGCAGCUCCUUCUGGAGCAGCAAGAAAGACCAACACGGAUCGUGCCCCAUGGUGCACAUGCAGCAGUGGGAAGAUCCCCAGACUUCAAGACACAUGUCUAUGAACCAGAGCGAUAGCCUGGAUAGCAGAGCCUCCAGACUCAGUGGCCAGGAAGAGAAGAUUCUGGAUAUGAAAGGUCUUAGGCCCUGACAAGGAAAAUGAGUGAUGAAUUAUGCAGGCAGCGAGCUCCAAUCUGACUUCUGUGAUGUGUGCGGCUAUCAUUGCACAAACUAUUUCGUCCCCCGGAUCCAGGAAAUGUGGUUUUACACUUGCUCAGACGUCUUUACAAAAGGGUGACAGCAGAUUUCAUAAGUAGAGAGAAACAAGAAAACUGGACUGUUUUUCCAGAAACAGCGUGAGCUGGGAUGCCCGCCUCCUCCUGGCCCCUCCGAGUGUGGACUCAGCUCCCUCACCCAUGUUGGGCUGGAGGCCAUGGUGUCAGCCCCAACCGAGAAAUCAGGUCUGGUUCCUUCCCACAACGAUGGCCAUUCAUCAGGCGUGACACUCAGUGACUCAGGGGACAGGAAAUGGGAUGUGGCAUCUCCUGUCGGAGAUUCCGAGAGUCGGAGUCCAUCUGCAGCAUGGGCAUCCCCGAGUAAGAUGAGAUGGAAUUCAUUUAUUCAGUGCUUCCUUCCACUAGUAUUUAUUAAAUGCCUAUUUUUUUUGACAGUCACU